rnacentral:rRNA from 1 species
CUUCGGGCGGGCCGGUAGAGUGGCGAACGGGUGAGUAACACGUAGACAACCUGCCUUCCAGUCUGGGAUAACCUCUCGAAAGAGGGGCUAAUACCGGAUAACACUCGGGGUCGCAUGGCCCGGGGUUGAAAGGCCUGCUGCUGGAAGAGGGGUCUGCGGGACAUUAGCUUGUUGGCGGGGUAACGGCCCACCAAGGCGAUGAUGUCUAGCGGGUCUGAGAGGAUGAUCCGCCACACUGGAACUGAGAUACGGUCCAGACUCCUACGGGAGGCGGCAGUGGGGAAUUUUGCGCAAUGGGCGAAAGCCUGACGCAGCAACGCCGCGUGAGUGAAGAAGGCCUUUGGGUCGUAAAGCUCUUUUCCGGGGGAAGAGAAAAGACGGUAUCCCGGGAAUAAGCACCGGCUAACUCCGUGCCAGCAGCCGCGGUAAUACGGAGGGUGCAAGCGUUGUUCGGAUUUACUGGGCGUAAAGGGCGUGUAGGCGGGUGCGCAAGCCGGAGGUGAAAGCCCCAGGCUCAACCUGGGAAGCUCUUCCGGAACUGCGCGCCUAGA